AACAAACGCUGGCGGCGUGCCUAACACAUGCAAGUCGUACGAGAAAGGGUCUUUCGGGAUCUGAGUAAAGUGGCACACGGGUGAGUAACGCGUGGAUAAUCUGCCCUUCAGUUGGGAAUAACUCAUCGAAAGGUGGGCUAAUACCGAAUAAUGCUGCGAGACCUCGGUUGAUCAGCCAAAGAGAGCCUCUGCUUGCAAGCCCUUGCUGAAGGAUGAGUCCGCGUACCAUUAGCUAGUUGGUAGGGUAAUGGCCUACCAAGGCGACGAUGGUUAGCGGGUCUGAGAGGAUGAUCAGCCACACUGGAACUGAGACACGGUCCAGACUCCUACGGGAGGCAGCAGUGAGGAAUCUUGCGCAAUGGGGGAAACCCUGACGCAGCAACGCCGCGUGAGUGAGGAAGGUCUUCGGAUCGUAAAGCUCUGUCGGAUGGAAAGAACCGCAUAGGGGUAAACAGCCCCUGUGUCUGACGGUACCAUCAAAGGAAGCACCGGCUAACUCCGUGCCAGCAGCCGCCGUAA
rnacentral:rRNA from 1 species